rnacentral:ribozyme from 1 species
UAAUGCCUGAGUAUUGAAUUAGAGAAAAGAAAUGAGAGACUUCGGUGUGGUAG